CAAUAAGAGCUUGCCUGAUGCUGUUGUUUGGUGGCCUGAAUGUGCAUAGAAUACCUACUGUCUACUUGAAUAGGUUUAUUGUAUGUUCUAUGUAUUUCUAUGACAAACUUUCAACCUUUUUGUGUUUCUUUUUCUUUUUGCUUUGGGUAGAAUUGUAAACAGUAGGCACAGUCAUUCCUUGAUCGACCUGGCAUCAACAUCGCUCGAUGUGUAUGAAGCUGCAAGUGAGAGAAGAAGCCGCCACUGAACACCUUUUUGGACUGUCAUGACUCAAAUGAAAGGACAGGACUUCUACUCUGCUGGGUCGGCCUCACUACAUAUUCAAGAAGCCCUCGGACGUCAUCAGAAUGUAUUAAUGUGAAGAGGCAACAAGGGAGAGAUGAACGCUAUCAAAAAUGUGGAGAUGGAUCUGGCAGCCGACCGCUUUUGCACACACCCAACAAGAAACAAAACAAUAAAGAAUACU